GGUUAAGCGACUAAGCGUACACGGUGGAUGCCCUGGCAGUCAGAGGCGAUGAAGGACGUGCUAAUCUGCGAUAAGCGUCGGUAAGGUGAUAUGAACCGUUAUAACCGGCGAUUUCCGAAUGGGGAAACCCAGUGUGAUUCGUCACACUAUCAUUAACUGAAUCCAUAGGUUAAUGAGGCGAACCGGGGGAACUGAAACAUCUAAGUACCCCGAGGAAAAGAAAUCAACCGAGAUUCCCCCAGUAGCGGCGAGCGAACGGGGAGCAGCCCAGAGCCUGAAUCAGUGUGUGUGUUAGUGGAAGCGUCUGGAAAGGCGUGCGAUACAGGGUGACAGCCCCGUACACAAAAAUGCACAUACUGUGAGCUCGAUGAGUAGGGCGGGACACGUGGUAUCCUGUCUGAAUAUGGGGGGACCAUCCUCCAAGGCUAAAUACUCCUGACUGACCGAUAGUGAACCAGUACCGUGAGGGAAAGGCGAAAAGAACCCCGGCGAGGGGAGUGAAAAAGAACCUGAAACCGUGUACGUACAAGCAGUGGGAGCACGCUUAGGCGUGUGACUGCGUACCUUUUGUAUAAUGGGUCAGCGACUUAUAUUCUGUAGCAAGGUUAACCGAAUAGGGGAGCCGAAGGGAAACCGAGUCUUAACUGGGCGUUAAGUUGCAGGGUAUAGACCCGAAACCCGGUGAUCUAGCCAUGGGCAGGUUGAAGGUUGGGUAACACUAACUGGAGGACCGAACCGACUAAUGUUGAAAAAUUAGCGGAUGACUUGUGGCUGGGGGUGAAAGGCCAAUCAAACCGGGAGAUAGCUGGUUCUCCCCGAAAGCUAUUUAGGUAGCGCCUCGUGAAUUCAUCUCCGGGGGUAGAGCACUGUUUCGGCAAGGGGGUCAUCCCGACUUACCAACCCGAUGCAAACUGCGAAUACCGGAGAAUGUUAUCACGGGAGACACACGGCGGGUGCUAACGUCCGUCGUGAAGAGGGAAACAACCCAGACCGCCAGCUAAGGUCCCAAAGUCAUGGUUAAGUGGGAAACGAUGUGGGAAGGCCCAGACAGCCAGGAUGUUGGCUUAGAAGCAGCCAUCAUUUAAAGA
rnacentral:rRNA from 1 species